UACGAAGGGGGCUAGCGUUGUUCGGAAUUACUGGGCGUAAAGCGCACGUAGGCGGGUCGUUAAGUCAGGGGUGAAAUCCCGGAGCUCAACUCCGGAACUGCCUUUGAUACUGGCGAUCUAGAGGUCGAGAGAGGUGAGUGGAAUUCCUAGUGUAGAGGUGAAAUUCGUAGAUAUUCGCAAGAACACCAGUGGCGAAGGCGGCUCACUGGCCCGAUACUGACGCUGAGGCACGAAAGCGUGGGAGCAAACAGG
rnacentral:rRNA from 1 species